UACGUAGGGAGCAAGCGUUAUCCGGAUUUAUUGGGUGUAAAGGGUGCGUAGACGGGAAAUUAAGUUAGUUGUGAAAUCCCUCGGCUCAACUGAGGAACUGCAACUAAAACUGAUUUUCUUGAGUGCUGGAGAGGAAAGUGGAAUUCCUAGUGUAGCGGUGAAAUGCGUAGAUAUUAGGAGGAACACCAGUGGCGAAGGCGACUUUCUGGACAGUAACUGACGUUGAGGCACGAAAGUGUGGGGAGCAAACAGG
rnacentral:rRNA from 1 species